rnacentral:sRNA from 1 species
AAUGAGGGGGAAAAGCUGUUGCCCUGCAGGGUUGUUUUGAGGACUUGCAGAAGGCCUCACAUACAACGUCUCAAUUAGUGCUGGGAAGCACCACCACUCUUCUCACAUUCUUACUGCAAGGUUCCUAAACUCUCUGCCCUCCCCCAAACCUUGAAACUAUACUCCUGUGACAGCAGCUCGGGAAAUCUAAAGAUUGGGUGGUGGUCUUGCCUUCUUCUAGACCCUGAAAGUCUAUUUUCAUUGGCAGGUCCGUCCUUUCACUUUAGGCCAGCUAAAGGAGUUGUUGGGGCGCACAGGAACCUUGGUGGAAGAGGCCUUCUGGAUUGACAAGAUCAAAUCUCAUUGCUUUGUAACGUACUCAACAGUAGAGGAAGCUGUUGCCACCCGCACAGCUCUGCACGGGGUCAAAUGGCCCCAGUCCAAUCCCAAAUUCCUUUGUGCUGACUAUGCCGAGCAAGAUGAGCUGGAUUAUCACCGAGGCCUCUUGGUGGACCGUCCCUCUGAAACUAAGACA